CUUGCUUUCUCCUACUCCUCUUGAAGAUGCAGAGUGCAUGGUUUGAAGUUUUGAACCUUAUCCUUUCAUCUAAGUAUAUUAAGAGCAUUAUAUAAGGAAUAUGGAUUAGAGAGAAACUUUACCAAAUAGAAGGGAUAAAGCUUAGAUACAGUGUGAAGGUUUAGCCAAAGGGAAUGCAACAAGUUGUACAAAGAGAAGUGGGACCACAUAAAUUCAGAUUUAAUCAGGAGGCAUGGCACUUCUCUGCAUCUUCUGAUCUUCCUAUAAAAAAGAUAUCAUAGAUAUAUUCAUCAUGUGAUUUCAUUGGUUCUGCAAAAAAUUAUGUAAAUGGCUUUUACAUAAUAUCUUAUCUUAGCCCAAUUUUGCUUUUGAGCAUUGACACCAAAUGUUGAAUUAACUGAU